rnacentral:rRNA from 1 species
UACCAGCACCCCGAGUGGUCGGGACGAUUAUUGGGCCUAAAGCAUCCGUAGCCGGUUCUACAAGUCUUCCGUUAAAUCCACCUGCUUAACAGAUGGGCUGCGGAGGAUACUAUAGAGCCAGGAGGCGGGAGAGGCAAGCGGUACUUAGUGGGUAGGGGUAAAAUCCGUUGAUCCAUUGAAGACCACCAGUGGCGAAGGCGGCUUGCCAGAACGCACUCGACGGUGAGGGAUGAAAGCUGGGGGAGCAAACCGG